AUUGAACGCUGGCGGCAGGCCUAACACAUGCAAGUCGAACGGAGUGGCGGACGGGUGAGUAAUGUCUGGGAAACUGCCUGGUAGUGGGGGAUAACGUCCGGAAACGGGCGCUAAUACCGCAUACUAUCAGAUGAGCCUAGGUCGGAUUAGCUAGUUGGUGGGGUAAAGGCCUACCAAGGCGACGAUCCGUAACUGGUCUGAGAGGAUGAUUAGGCACACUGGAACUGGGACCCGGGCCAGACUCCUAAGGGAGGCAGCAGUGGGGAAUAUGGGACAAUGGGCGAAAGCCUGAUCCAGCCAUGCCGCGUGUGUGAAGAAGGUCUUCGGAUUGUAAAGCACUUUAAGUUGGGAGGCGUUACCAACAGAAUAAGCACCGGCUAACUUCGUGCCAGCCGCCGCGGUAAUAC
rnacentral:rRNA from 1 species